rnacentral:lncRNA from 1 species
UGUAUCUGCAGGUUGGAAAUCUUGGUCAAGCUAACUAUGUUGCUUCUAAAGCAGCCAUAGACGCCAUGAGUAGGACGUGUGCGAAGGAACUAGCCCUGUGAGUUUUUAGAUAAAGUACUGUUGAAGAAUUUUACUAAAUUUAAAGACUUUCAGUAAGUUAUUGGUAAACCCCAGGGCGAACCUUUUAGCCAUGAAAGAAGCAUGCAACUAUAAUACUAACACGAGUAUUUUACUAUAGUGUUAUAGCUUUUUAUAACCCAUCAAGUUGAACCACAUGCAUAUCCCGUCGUGCUAGAUUGCAGAGUUUGGUAGUUUUCAACGAGAUCUCGAGGGCACAAUAUCUAUGUCCGUUCCCAUGAGCGCUUCUAGAGCCCGUCGAGGUCACAAACGUGACCAAGCAGGUUAUUAAAACAAGAAAAAUUAGAGUUUGUGGCAGAUUAGAGUAUGAAAAUUGUUAUGAAUCACUGAUUGGUAAUGUUUUUACACAAUAGUUUCCUUAAGAAAAGUCUCGAUCGGGAUGACCAACUCUGCAGUCUGGCUGUCGUGCAUGUCAGCUACGUUAGAAUAUACUUCACAUAGCGUUUCUUCUUUUGCGACGACAGUUACUGAUGCGUCUUUUUUCUUUUCUCUCAAGGUAUGGGAUCAGGUGUAACGUUAUACUACCAGGUUUUAUACAGACGCCAAUGCUAAAUACUAUCCCUUCUAAAUUAAUAAAAAAGGUUAGGGUUCAUUUGUUAUUAUCAUAUAAUUUUCUUUUGAAGUGUGUCGA